GGUUGUGGCUCAGUGGUAAAGCGCUUCCCUGGCAUGUGUGAGGCACUGGAUUCAAUCCUCAGCACCA
rnacentral:tRNA from 1 species